rnacentral:rRNA from 1 species
CCUUGCCAGCCCGCUCAGAAACUCAAAGGAAUUGACGGGGCCCGCACAAGCGGUGGAGUAUGUGGUUAAUUCGAUGCAACGCGAAGAACCUUACCUGGUCUUGACAUCCCGGAGACCCUUAGGAAACUAGGGGGUGCUUCCAUCUGGAAGAAUCUGGAGACAGGUGCUGCAUGGCUGUCGUCAGCUCGUGUCGUGAGAUGUUGGGUUAAGUCCCGCAACGAGCGCAACCCUUGCCUUUAGUUGCCAGCAGUUCGGCUGGGCACUCUAAAGGGACUGCCGGUGUUAAACCGGAGGAAGGUGGGGAUGACGUCAAGUCCUCAUGGCCUUUAUGACCAGGGCUACACACGUACUACAAUGGCCGAUACAAAGGGCAGCGACACUGCGAGGUGAAGCCAAUCCCGUAAAAUCGGUCUCAGUCCGGAUUGGAGUCUGCAACUCGACUCCAUGAAGUUGGAAUCGCUAGUAAUCGUGGAUCAGCAUGCCACGGUGAAUACGUUCCCGGGCCUU